UACAACAUGGACAUCAUCAAACAUGGUUUCCUAAGCUUGUUAACACUUCUGCUCUGGAUAAAAGGUCUAGUUGAUGGGAGUGAUGUCACUCAGACUUCCAUACCGUGGAAAUUCAAGGAUGAAAAUGCAACAAUACACUGCAACCACACCAAGGAUGCUAGCUAUUUCCAGAUGUACUGGUACAGACAGCUGCCAGGAGAAGCAAUGAAACAAAUUGUGUUCACUGUUCCAAACAGCAAACCUGACUUUGAACUAGACUUCAAAAAUGGGAGAUUCUCAGCUACUAAGCCUGACGCUGCUAGUGGGACAUUCACAGUGAAGAAUCUGGAACCAGGAGAUAAAGGCUUGUAUUUCUGUGCUGUCAGUGAGCACAGUGAUACAGAUGCACUUGACAGCUGAACAAAAACCUCAGUGCACUGUUGGAACAACUGCUACCAACUCAAUUUAUCUCCUGUACUGUACAUCUCUCUCUCCUGUACUGUAGGGGGACCUCGAGCACCACAAACACUCCCAGUUACACUUUGAUGUGGAGUUUGAUACAGCAGCUCACAGAACAUCACACUGCAGAGACACUCCCACCUGUAACUCUUUAUAUCUCUGUAAUUACAUUGACAGUUACAGUAUAUAUGAGACUUGGUGCUUUACAACAUGGACAUUAUCAAACAUGGUCUCCUCAGCUUCUUACUAUUUCUACUUUGGAACAAAGGUAAAGUACAGUGAGAUCUGGGGCUGAAAUCAAUAUCAUGAUAGAAAUAGGAAUGUUGACUGAUAACCAAAAAUAUCAAUCAUGGCAAAUUAAUACAAUCCACUAUUAUGCUUUACAUCAGUAAAACUAUUUAUACAUGUCAAACAAUUUACAAUUAGAUGGAAUAUUUACAUUUGGACACCUGCAAAACACUAACAUGAUAUGAGCAUUUCAUCAUGAUACGGCACUAUUCAACUGAGAGUCAAACAGUUUGAAUCACUAAAUUAUCAUCCAGACUGAGUACAAUGAUCUCUGCAUUACAACUAAAACUUUUAUUUCGGGAAUGAGAGCAGACAAUGACAACGGUUGUAAAAUACUCUACUGUAUGUGAGUUAAAAUAUUCACUUGAGGUAACUUUUACUGUUUCACACA